CUGAAAUGAAGCUUCACGUCAUCAACCAAGCAUGGCGAACGAAGUGCGGGAUAUACGUGACUCUCGUCGUGUAAUACUGUCACAGAGCAGUUGUUCUUGUGUUGCUGGGACAGCACAUUGUUGCACUACUCAGAGCUUGGCAUCAGUGAAGUUCACAGCUGUACUGAAACGGUUGAGAGCUGACACAGACCUAGAACAAUGAGGUUCUGUAUGCAAGACCCAAAGAAAUGAGCUUAGCUUGCUGAUGUAUUAAGGAGUACCUUUUAAAAGAGUGUCACCUGUAAGCUGCCUGACCUCACAGUCCUCCAAGUAGCAGAGGCGUUUAAGGACCUUGCCAGGGCUGUAGCCCCUUCGGUCACCACUAUCAGGAUGUCACAUGUCAAUUCUUUGGUGGAUUUUGGCUUUGGCAGAGUUUAGUAUGGAAGUGUGCUGUCAUACCAGCAGCAACA